GAUACGCUUUUUAUGAUAAAGAAUGGAAGUAAUGUAUUGGUGAUAAAAUAGGAACUCCUUUUCCAGAUUUCAUUCGUGUAUUGUGAUCCUCACACCACCAGCAAACUAACGUAUCUACGAGGAGAAAUCAAUGGUUAAAAGGGUGGGUCGCAAAGUAUCUUCAAGUUCCGACUUAAGUAACAACAUAGAUGUGAAGGAACUCAUGGCUCACUUGGUCAAGUUGCAGUCCCCUCUUAGUGAAGUUAACAGCAAAUGCUACAGCAUURGUGCAGCGUUGGCCUGGGUCUUACACGACUUUUUGGAGGACUUAAUGAACAAGACAUUGGCUUUUUGAAGGUGGAAUACAGCUGUAAAAUGGCUGGAUUUUUAGUAGAAAAUCAUAUGUACUCUCUAGUUAAACUCAUAUGUAUUCUCUAGUUUAGCUUUUGUACUUCUUAGUUGAACUUUGGUUAAGGGUUGUACUUUUUAGUUAUGCUUUUGUUGUAUUGUAACUAGUGUUGGUUAGCUUAGCCUCCAAGCUUAGYUCUUUUGUCUUUUAGUGCCCAUUUUGGGUAUAAAAAGGAGGCUAGAGUUACCAUUUUACACACCCAAUUAAUCCAUCAUACUUUGGAUU